UUCCAGACUCCUACGGGAGGCAGCAGUGGGGAAUAUUGCACAAUGGGCGCAAGCCUGAUGCAGCCAUGCCGCGUGUAUGAAGAAGGCCUUCGGGUUGUAAAGUACUUUCAGCGGGGAGGAAGGUGUUGAGGUUAAUAACCUCAGCAAUUGACGUUACCCGCAGAAGAAGCACCGGCUAACUCCGUGCCAGCAGCCGCGGUAAUACGGAGGGUGCAAGCGUUAAUCGGAAUUACUGGGCGUAAAGGGUGUGCAGGCGGCUGAGUAAGACAGAUGUGAAAUCCCCGGGCUUAACCUGGGAACCGCAUAUGUGACUGCUUGGCUAGAGUGCGUCAGAGGGAGGUGGAAUUCCACGUGUAGCAGUGAAAUGCGUAGAUAUGUGGAAGAAUACCGGUGGCGAAGGCGGCCCCCUGGACAAAGACUGACGCUCAGGUGCGAAAGCGUGGGGAGCAAACAGGAUUAGAUACCCUCGUAC
rnacentral:rRNA from 1 species